rnacentral:rRNA from 1 species
GACGAACGCUGGCGGCGUGCUUAACACAUGCAAGUCGAACGGAAAGGCCCUGCUUUUGUGGGGUGCUCGAGUGGCGAACGGGUGAGUAACACGUGAGUAACCUGCCCUUGACUUUGGGAUAACUUCAGGAAACUGGGGCUAAUACCGGAUAGGAGCUCCUGCUGCAUGGUGGGGGUUGGAAAGUUUCGGCGGUUGGGGAUGGGCUCGCGGCUUAUCAGCUUGUUGGUGGGGUAGUGGCUUACCAAGGCUUUGACGGGUAGCCGGCCUGAGAGGGUGACCGGCCACAUUGGGAAUGAGAGACGGCCCAGACUCCUACGGGAGGCAGCAGGGGGGAAUAUUGCACAAUGGGCGGAAGCCUGAUGCAGCAACGCCGCGUGCGGGAUGACGGCCUUCGGGUUGUAAACCGCUUUCGCCUGUGACGAAGCGUGAGUGACGGUAAUGGGUAAAGAAGCACCGGCUAACUACGUG